rnacentral:tRNA from 1 species
GGCGGGUUACUCAAGCGGCAACGAGAGCAGACUGUAAAUCUGUUGACUACGGUCUUCGGUGGUUCGAGUCCACCACACGCCACCA